UGUCUCCAAACAGCCAAACAGAAGCAACCUGGCAGAUGACCCUUCACGGUUUCAGGGUCUUGUACGGGCUGUUCUACGCCCCUUGUCACUGUCUCCUGCUCCGCGAGGGGAGAGAAUGCCGGCGUUCUGAAAAUCUGGAGGUUUA